GUGAGUGGGACACGAAUGAAAGGCCCACAAGGAAAGCAUCAUGAAGCGCUUUCUGGCAGUUACUUUAAAUCUGCCCAGGGGAUGUAGGAGGCCGCUGGUGCGAUGGGAGCGGGCUAAGCUGUGACAGGCAGUGGACGCUUGGCCCCGCUCUCCCUGGGUGACGGUCACCUGAAUUUCAUCCCCGGACCAAAUGGGACCGCCGUCUGCUCGAAAGUGCUGACUUCUUCUGCCUUUAUUUUCCUUGGACCCUGAUUUUUUUCAUAUAUUACCAUAUCAAUAUAUUAAUUUUUCUUUUUGAUUCAGUUUCAAUAAGCCCCCCUCAAAUGCAAUUAGCUGCUGUGAGUGCAUAAAUCAAGUACUUUCUAAGGGGAGAAGUGGAAAUACUGCUUAUCCCUCCACAAAGCUAGGUGACAUCAGUUCUCAAGGCGGGCUCACCCUCAGAACGCCCGUCCCCACGCUGUCACGCGCUCCAGGCGCGGCUGCUGAGGCUGCCCUCCCUGCCUGCCACACAUGACCGUCGG